rnacentral:rRNA from 1 species
GAUGAACGCUGGCGGCGUGCCUAAUACAUGCAAGUCGAGCGAACAGACGAGGAGCUUGCUCCUCUGACGUUAGCGGCGGACGGGUGAGUAACACGUGGAUAACCUACCUAUAUGACUGGGAUAACUUCGGGAAACCGGAGCUAAUACUGGAUAAUAUAUUGAACCGCAUGGUUCAAUAGUGAAAGACGGUUUUGCUGUCACUUAUAGCUGGAUCCGCGCCGCAUUAGCUAGUUGGUAAGGUAACGGCUUACCAAGGCAACGAUGCGUAGCCGACCUGAGAGGGUGAUCGGCCACACUGGAACUGAGACACGGUCCAGACUCCUACGGGAGGCAGCAGUAGGGAAUCUUCCGCAAAGGGCGAAAGCCUGACGGAGCAACGCCGCGUGAGUGAUGAAGGUCUUCGGAUCGUAAAACUCUGUUAUUAGGGAAGAACAAAUGUGUAAGUAACUAUGCACGUCUUGACGGUACCUAAUCAGAAAGCCACGGCUAACUACGUG